rnacentral:lncRNA from 1 species
UGAAAUAUGCAUGGUGUAAAUUGAAUGCUAUUUUUGUGAAAACAAACCAACAAACAUCUUGCUUUGCUAUGUCUAGUGAUACAAUAUGCUGGUUUUCUGAAAUAACUUAUUUUUCAAUACUUAAAAAAAAUGCUUAAAUGUUAAAUAUUUUAAACAGUGCAAAAUAUGCAUUUCCUUUCUUAAAUAUAUGAUCAAUCAGAUGGGAAGAUUUUUAAAACACAUGCUUGUGUGUGCCUAUGGAUAGAAGAGAACUGACAAGAAAAUAAUUUGGAAAAGUAAUGAAGAGUUAGAAAGAGAAAGCAAACCAUACCUUUGAGAGAGAGAAAAAUCACUAGCACAGAAAUGGUUUAUCAGAAUAUUGUCCUUAGUAGUUUUUCAAGUUCAUCAAUCCAACAUUUUCUUUAUGAUUUAAGUUCUUAAAUUCUGUGCUAGAUCUUUGGUUAAAUCCAAGAAGUGUUAAAUUCUAAGAGACUAGUUCUUACCACAGAUGAUAUUAAAAUUGCCUUCUCAUAAAAUAAUAAAAUUGCCAGCAUUAUAAUU